ACAAAGGGGUUUUUGUGCCAAAUUUGAUCCAGAUCCAUCAAGCCAUGAACGACUUGAGAAACUGCAAUUCACUUCUGGUGUGAGAGAAUUGGCCAUCUGCAAGGAUGAUGCCCAGGGGACACCCGGAUGAACUGAUGUUUUCAUCAUCCUUGUGGGAGGCUUCUCUCAUAACCCCACAUGAGGAUCUGGAGCUAAUAGAGGGAGCUCAUCCACCUCUCCCUGGAUUCGAACCUGCAACCUGUCGGUCUUCAGUCCUGCUGGCACAAAAGUUUAACCCACAGCGCAACCAGGGGCUCCAGUGCAGUAAUUAAAAGCAAAUAAAAACAAAUAAAGUGUUUUCAAAUAUGGUGGCCAACAAUCACUGGAGAUCAGAACUGCCCCCUCUAUUCUGUCGUUCAGAAAACGGGUGAAAACCUGGCUAUGGGGUUUGGCUUUCGACGAGUGAAUCAAUAUUUCUGUGAUCGGAUAGAUGACGAUGAAUGAUGGACAACGAAUUCACUAUGACGACUGACCAUUGUUAUUAUGUGAUUGCAUUUUGCUGUUAUAACGUUUUAAUUGAAUAUGUUAUAUGAUGUUUUUAAUUAUUGUUUUGUGAUUUUAUUGUUGGAAACUGGCCCGAGUCUCCCGAUAGAGGGGAGAAGACCGGUAUACAAAAUUGCUA